rnacentral:rRNA from 1 species
GAUGAACGCUGGCGGCGUGCCUAAUACAUGCAAGUCGAGCGAACGGACGAGAAGCUUGCUUCUCUGAUGUUAGCGGCGGACGGGUGAGUAACACGUGGAUAACCUACCUAUAAGACUGGGAUAACUUCGGGAAACCGUAGCUAAUACCGGAUAAUAUUUUGAACCGCAUGGUUCAAAAGUGAAAGACGGUCUUGCUGUCACUUAUAGAUGGAUCCGCGCUGCAUUAGCUAGUUGGUAAGGUAACGGCUUACCAAGGCAACGAUGCAUAGCCGACCUGAGAGGGUGAUCGGCCACACUGGAACUGAGACACGGUCCAGACUCCUACGGGAGGCAGCAGUAGGGAAUCUUCCGCAAUGGGCGAAAGCCUGACGCAGCAACGCCGCGUGAGUGAUGAAGGUCUUCGGAUCGUAAAACUCUGUUAUUAGGGAAGAACAUAUGUGUAAGUAACUGUGCCCAUCUUGACGGUACCUAAUCAGAAAGCCACGGCUAACUACGUG